GAUGGUAUAGCUCAGUGGUAGAGUGCAGGCUUAACAUGCACGAGGUCCUGGGUUGAAUCCCCAGCACCUCCA
rnacentral:tRNA from 1 species